rnacentral:lncRNA from 1 species
UUUGCUUGGGGUAAAGAGCACACUGUGGUAUCAGACAAAGGAGCUUCUGAUUAUGGCUACACCAGCUAUAAGCUGCAGUGAUAGCUCCAAUUCUGAAAGUGUUAACUUUGGGUAUUCAUUAUUUGUUUCACCAAUCUCCUAGUCCCCCACGCCCUGGUACUGGGGAUUGAAUCUAGGAAAGCUCUGCUACUGAGCUGUAUCCUUAGCCCUCUAUUUUUUAUCUUAAAGUCAGGCUGGCCUCCAACUUGCCAUCCUCCUGCCCCCAGCCUCCUGAGUCUCUGGUGUCCCACCACACCAGGCCAACCUCUUACUCUUGAUGUUUAGGGUAUUUCUAGCAUUUUCUCUGAUGUACACAAAGGCACCUUUUCCCAGGUGUUUCCUUGGAAGAACGACCCACCUUGAGUGGCUUGAGUUUCUUGAACUAUAAUAUUUUGUUCAUUGCUGUUAUUCAAAUAUAUGUUUCUAGAAUAUCAAGAAGAAACUUAAGAUAUACAUGAAAAUUCUCCUCAGGGAAAGAGACUGGAGCAUGGUACCUUGGUCUUAGACAGGAAGAUUUCAAUGCAAGCAUUGGACUUGUCUCAUACUGUUCUAGAAUGAUGUAACCAAAUUCCAGUGGAGAUUCUUGCUUAGAGGGGAUCCUGUCCGUGAAUUUAAAGCAGAUCUCUUGAGAUAUCUACAUCUCACACAUUCCUUUGCUGCUGUUGUUGAUUGAGCUUUCCAAGAGUUGGUUUCCAUGCUAGCAACUAAAAAAGCAAGUGAAGUGGAAAAAAAAAAUUUCUAAAAACAAGUCAAAUGGGACAAAAAUAUUAAAUGUUGGAAAAACUUAUUGUGCUGCCUUUUAAAAGGUGGUGGUUCAUAGCCAAAAUAUAGAGAGAUCUAUAGAAAGUAAAGAAGAAAAACACACAGCAUAUGCAUCCAUUCUGUUAGCUCCUGCGGUCUCCCGAUGGCCAAAGAAACAAAGCUCAUCAAAAUGAGAAAGGCCUCCCUGCUGCCUUUGGGGCUGAGGAACCUGCCAGGGAAACCCGGGCAGCUUUCUUCCAAGAGUGGACAGAGGUAGUCUAAGCUCAAAGAAAGGAAAAGGAUUUAGGCCUUGGAGUUGGGCUUCGGAGAAAAAAAGAAAAAAGAACAGGAACUCGAGGCAGACUUGGCCUGGGCAGUGAUGCUGGGACCUGGCUCCAGGGGCUGACACUUCAUUUUCCUGAACCCACCUUCCUCUCCGAAUCUCAAAGGCUGGAGCCUUUGAGGUUCUCAACAGGUUCCUCCCGCUCUGCCACUGCCUCCAGAGAAGCCCUAGUUAAUGAGGGACAGGACGUCUCUUACUCUUUUUUCAAAAGCAAUUCAAGUAAAACCAAAAUGAUCUGUUUUAGAAUUUUUGCAAAUUUCCCUGAGUUGUCCGCACUAAGAGGAAGUAACCUUGAAUGUCUCAAGUCAACCUGAGAAUGGCCAGACCAGAUACCACUGAGAUCCGCUGGGAAUACAAAGAAAGCUCCCUCUGUGAACGUCUGGAUCUCCUGCUGAAGAGAUCGUUGCUGUUUGACCCUUAGAUCCCUUCUAGUAGAAUCAGAUUCCCAUAGCCGUGAAGGAACCUCAUUUCCUUUGAGGGAAGUAUUCUGCCUGUGUGAGCAAAUAUUGGAAGACGUAAAUGCCUGUGACACUUAACUGCCGAUUCUGCAGUCUUCUCCGACUGGAAUUAACAAUAGUGGGCGUGACAGGAAAGCUCCUUUUACUCUCAGGACAAAAGACUUGGGUCCUCCUUUGAAUCAAGGUUGAUGGAAUUUAAAGACCACUCCUGGGAGGCUUAUAUGAAGUGACAACCUCUCUAGUUCCUCUCCCAAGAACAGGAAAAACUCCACCCUUCUCCCAAUCACUGGCCCUGAUAACAGUGCUCAUUAUUCUGUUUUCCAAUACAUUUUUGUAAAACUGUCAUCUCCCUUUGUAACCUGAGAGUCAGCAGUGACAAGGUCUUAUUCAUUUCUUUAACCCCCAGCCUCUAAGAGGGUGCCUCACCACCUUGGUUGAUGCUCAACAGAUCCCUUUGGACAAAAGGGCAGGUAAUUCCUCAGGACCUGUGACCCCCCACACCCCCCAGGUUCCUGUCUCAGGUCUUUCUGCAGGUGUACAAGAGCAAGCACAGAGCAGCUGAUAAGAACCUGACCUUUCUUCAGCCAUUCACACAUCACACUGGAUCUUCAGGGACUUUGUAAAAACCCCCCUCUAGGUUGGAAGACGCUGGCCCUGGGCGGCACCCAGAUCCGAGACCAGUUUCUGACUGGGAGUUUUCCCCUACGAAGCCAGACUUGGAUCUCGCUGUGUGUGACCACCAUUCUCAGACUGCUGGGGAUUCAAAACAAGGAAACUUGGGGGAUCAGCACACGCUGGUGCUGCCAGCCCUUCAAAAGCCACCUUCUGAACCAGUAGGGGUGUGGCACUGUGCCGUGCUCUGCACAGGGACCUAGUCAUGCUUCACUCCAGCUCUCCAAGUGGCCACCCUGUCACUCUCCCCAGCUGAGUGAAAGUUCAGUAAUCAAAGCAGAGACUAAAGCAGAAUCUUAGAGCCAAUCCAAUACUAAGGACGCCAUCUUAAGAAAAGGGGAAAAAAAGCUUAUUGCUUUGCUAGCAAAAGAGAAACCCAGGGGAGUCCUGUUAGAGGCUGUGAUUCUGUCCGCCAGAAGGAACUGGGGGGGUUUUAUGGAGGUGAUUCAAGGCUACAUUCCCAUGUUCUCCAUUGGAGGUGUGAUUCACUUGUUAAUUUGGGAGAUCUUUGGGUGCCAUCCCCAAAGUCUAGAUUGCUUCAUUCCUGUGGUGGCUGUGUACUCCAGGACAGAUAACUCUGCCUGGGAUGGGGAAGAAAGGUGAUUCUAUUCCCCUGAGAUUAGGGAGCAGGAGAGAUUACAGAGGAUCAAGGGGAGAGGAAGAGAAAGAAACAUGCCCUUUUAAAAAUAAGUUGCAGUGGCCGAGCAGCGAGGGCUAGAUUCAAGGCAUAAAGCGGACCAGUGCUACAAUUGUAAACCCUACCGUUUAGCUUACACUUGUCACUGGUCUUAUUCAGAUUAAAUGUACCCUUAGGGACAAGACAUAAGGCAGGGGAGAUUUGGCUGAACAAGCAAUGCAUGCUGGGAGAAUUGCAGUCUGUACCCCUGAUCUGUCACUUCCCAGUCUUCUAAAUUAAUUUCAGAUCUAGAAUGAAAAAAAUUUGAAGUUUUUCUGCUGUAUUCUUUUGCUAGGAUUGCCUUUAAAAGGUGCCACAUAGUAAGGUGGCUCAAACGACAGAAAUUCAUUGUGUCGACAGUUCUUUGAGACUCCAAAGCUCAAUCUCAGGGUGUCCCCAGAAUUUGUUCCUUCCCAGGACUUCAAAGGCAAGUCUGCCCCAUGUCUUGGCCUCUGGUGGCUCUCUGUCCAUCUCUGAUGCCCCUGGGCUUUGUGGCACUGUCACCCCAUCUCUGUCUCAUCUUCUCCUGGCCUCUCCACAUGUGCGUCUGAGUCCCUGUCUGGCUUCUUAACGAGAACACCCGUGGUAUUGAGCUAGGACCUGCCCUAACACCUGUCUAGCUAAGUGCAUCUGAAAG